rnacentral:rRNA from 1 species
GACGAACGCUGGCGGCGUGCCUAAUACAUGCAAGUCGAACGCAGUGGGACCGGUUGAUUAACACGUGGGUAACCUCCCAUCAGAGGGGAUAACACUUUGAAACAGGUGCUAAACCGAUACUGAUGGAUGUACCCGCGGUGCAUUAGCUAGUUGGUGAGGUAACGGCUCACCAAGGCCACGAUGCAUAGCCGAACUGAGAGGGUGAUCGGCCACACUGGGACUGAGACACGGCCCAGACUCCUACGGGAGGCAGCAGUAGGGAAUCGUCGGCAAUGGACGAAAGUCUGAUCGAGCAACGCCGCGUGAGUGAAGAAGGUUUUCGGAUCGGAAAACGCUGUUGUUAGAGAAGCGGUAUCUAACCAGAAAGCAACGGCUAACUACGUGCCAGCAGCCGCGGUAAUUC